GGCUCCGGUUUUGUAUUAUAUUUUUUCUUUUUUUCUUUUUUUUUUUUUUUACAUGUACUUACUACUGGGGUUUUGUUUGUUUGUUUUUACGUGUGGUAACUGAGUUUUCACAAUGCAAGGUGAUUGACUUGCCUGUGAAGCUGGUACCACCUAAGAGACUGAGAGGUAGAAGGUGGAAGUGGCUUUUUUAGCAGUAUCAAAUACAAGAAUGAGUUUGGCCAUAGCAGUUAACUAUCACUGAGCAUUGACAUCUAGUCUGGUUCAUGAGGGAAAAAAAAGCAAAGUCCUUCAGUUUUCUUCUACGCUGCAGUUCAGCCAGAAUCUAUAUGUUUCCAGAGUAAGACUUGGCUCACUGUCACGUGAGGUCAUCUUGAUGUCCAGAUGAACAUCUGCAGUUCCUGGUAGUUCCCCAUAGCUUGGUAAUUCACUAUCGAUGAGUUCCAAUUUCUACUGUAUUUUCAAGAUUUAAUUUUGAAGUUUGAGAGGUUUCUUCACGAAAAACCACACCAUCUUGCAAACUCUGCACUUGGUCCUCUUUGGGUGUUGAAUUCCAAAACUUCAGUAUGUCUGCAAAAUGACUAAAAGAGAAGAAACGGCUCUGUUCUUCAGAUACAUCAGGCUUUUCUUCUGUGCUUUUUGUGUCUGAGGGAUCACAAUUCUGAGGUGGGCUAGGAGAAGAAAUAAUCUGAUCUGAUGCAAUUAAUUCAUGCCCCUGUUGAUUACAUAUAUGUCCAUAUUAUAAUCAAUAAAGCUAUUAUAAAUAUUUGAAU